rnacentral:lncRNA from 1 species
CCUGACGCCACAAGGACACAGCGUCCUUCCAGGACCCCGUGCGCAUUCCUCCCGCGCUCGUAAUGCAGCCGCGGUUCUGCGCUGUCAUCGGGAGCCGCGGGGACGCCAGCCCGCCCGCCGGGCCGGGAAGCACGGGUCCCCUCGAGCCUCCCCGACGGCCUCCCCGCCGUCUCCCAGCGCAAAUCUUAGUGACUCUCGGGUGACUCGCAAGCGAUCAAAACGAACGUCGGCGCAGCCGGGUCCCUGGGGGAGGGGGACACGCCAGGACGAGGACACGAGGCGGAAAGGCUGCUGUGGCUUUUUCGGGUCCCCCCCUCGCCCCAGCCUCCUCCUGCCUCGCUCAGAGCCCGACGGGCCGACUCCGCGUUGUAAACACAGGCCGUGUGAGUCAGGCUCUUUCCAGCCACGGGUCACGCCUGGGAGGGUUGUGAAAUCAAAUUAGCGGGGUGUGACCAGAUUGUUAUUUUCCACAUUAAACAGUAUAGAAACGUGGAACGAAAGCGGAUGAAAGACAGUACAAGGCAUCCGGCACGCCAAACGCAACUGGACAACAAUGAGCUUGCGUGUCUAGAUACCUUUGCAACCCGUGGCAAGGACCCUCACAGCCUCCCAGGGGUCCAUGAAGGAGAAGAGAGGCCCAGCAAGACGGGAGGCGGCUGACGGGAAGGGGAUCUGGAAAAAAGACCACUGCGGUCGAUCACAAAAGUGGACAGAAAUUCUCCCCCUGGUCCCACACUCUUUGCAGCUCCUCCCAUCCAGACAUGGGGUCUGCCACCCCACCUCUUGAACCCGGGCCGGCCUUCUGACUUGCCCUGGCCAGCGGAAGGUGGUGGAAGUGACGGUGUGUGUGUCUGAGCUACGCUUCCGCUGUGCCUGGCUGCCGUGUGAGGAAGCCCCGGGCCGGCCCAUUGGAAGGUGAGAGGCAUGUGCACGUCACCUCCAUUGUCCCGCUCACAGCCAGCCGCGCCCUCGGAGCAGAGCCACGGGGCUGACCGACGGCCGACCACUGACCCCUGGCCAGGACCAGACGCACCGGCUGCACCCAAACUCCGAGCACGAGGACGAUGUGUCUGUUCCAACGCACUGUGGCGCACAGCCUUCCCCAAAUCCGGCCGUGACAACGUCUCCCGGCCCCCGUGACCUUCCAGCAUGCGGUCUCGCUCCGCGCCUGGCGUCGAGGGGAGUCUGUGAGGACUCCAAUCAGGGCCGACUCCAGGCCACACGGCAAGAGGGGCUCUGGCGGGUACCCCGGCUCCGAGUCAUCCCGGCCCAGGUGCCCAGCACGGGUGUGACGAGCCUGCAGCCCCCGGGCUGGCCCCACCGAGACCCCAGACUUGGUGCAACAGAGACCCACUGUGUGACUCCCGCGCCCAAUUCUCGACCCACCAAACCCACGAGCGUCCCAUAAUCGCUCCUUGAAUCGGCGCCACUUGGGGGCAUCUUGUCAACCAGCAACAGCCUCUAAGUUUGGGGUCAUCGGUUACGCGGCCACAGCUGACGGACGCAGCGCCACCCCCGAGACAACGGGGCCCCCUCGGCCUCACACUCUGACUCGCCCCAGUGCCCCGACUCUCGCCUCCUCUCCGCACCCAGGAUUCCUGCCCAAACGCAGGCCGCGCCCCUUUCUCUUUCCCGCCACCCCCACCCCGCAGGCCACACCCAGCUUGCUCCCCGCUGACGCCCCCCUCCCUCACUGAUGGGGGAUCAAGGCCACGCCAAGCCCCCCAGCGCCCCGCCUGCCGCUCUCAACCUCGGGGGACACCCCACGACCCAGCGACCGGCACAACGGGGGGCCCGCAGGACCUGCCUGCACCACGCCGGGCACCACCUGACUGGGGC